AAUCAUAAUGAGUCUAGGAACUAAUAGGAGUUAGUUUCCAACUAGGACUAGGCAUUCCUAGUGCAACUAUGACUAGACUACAUAGCUAAUAGUCCCAAAUGGACUUCACAAUCGAUGGCCCACUUGGGGACUUAUAAUCGAUGGGCCUAAUGGGCAUUUCUUAAUUAAUUAAUUACUAAUUAAAAAUAACACUAAUUGAUGGGCCCAAUGGCCCAUAUAUUUAUUUAAUAACUUAGCCACUCAGGUGGAGUAAGUAUGGAUCGGCUGGCCCUUCUUGGCUGGGCCUGUCUUUCUCUGGUAGCUCUUUUGAUAAUGUGGAUCUACAUCAACAGGCCAUGGACUGGUAUUACUACAUAAUACUAUAACUAGAAGUCAUUUUUCAUCUUGAGCAAAAGGCAUCCAGCCUUCUUGAACAAAAAUAUAAAAGAUAAGAAUUCUUGAUUUUGAGCAUACUAGGUCUACCCCAGAUAUCCAGAUAUAGUCUGUUCUUGUCUUCUCAUUGUUUAUUGUCUGAAGCAUACGGAUUAGUUUGAGCAUCUUACUAGAUCUGGAAUGCUUUGUCUGGGAUUUGGUGCAAAUAGAAUGUCAAUUUGUUUUAGCAUCUUACAAGUGUUAUUCUCUCUCUCUCUCUCUCUCUAAUAACAAUCUGUUUCAAUCUAGGUUGUUAUCCAAAUACUUCACCGAUUUUAAUCUUGCGUACUCACUUACUCAGGGUAACUUAUUGUCCUUUUUUAUCCAAACAUUUAUGCAUUAUUGUUGGUUCCACUACAGGCAGUUUCUGCUCUAUGAUGCAUCAGGUAUAGAGUAAUGUCAUGUUGGAGGCCAAACAAUUUAUGCAUUCCUGGAUUAUACAUUUUGUCCCAUCGAGGAAGACAACAAGGAAUGCAUGUUCCUAACUCUAUCCUGUGAUGGCCUGUGGGAUAAGAACAAUAUGCAUUCGGUGUUUGUCUGGAAAUUUAUCCAUCGACGACUUCCAAAGAAUGACAAGGUCUCACAAAAGGCAUUCCUUUGGCGCUAAGGUGUAAUCUUUCUUGAAAGCGUCCAAAUCUGCUGUACAUAUCAGUGCAUCUAUUCAAAGAAAUUUUGUCAUUUUUUCCUUGAUAUUUUUUAAAUUGCUUGGCCAAAUUUUACCUGUGUCAAUAAUCUUCUGAUUUGGUGGAAAAGGAAGUCGGUGGUGGUGCCUCUCAUAUCUAUUUGGCUGUCAGAUUUCGUCCUAAUCCCAAUGAUUAUAUGGACGGAAAGGAAUUUGAGAAGAUUUGAGGGAAGAGGAAGGACCCUCUCGAAUGUUGAAGGAAGCCCUUUUCCAAGAUAGCUGGAAACCCAGCUCUUUGACACCUUGCAAGGGGAAAAAAAGAAGAACAAUGUGCAUUCCUCCUUCCACUCUGUCCUAUCAGUUUAGUAGUAUUAGGAUGGUUUGGAUGGACUAUGAUUCCAAGUUCAGGUGUAAAGGAAACAACCAACCUCAUGCUAUCUUAAGACUUACGAAGGAACAACUUUAACUUCUAUUUUGACUUGCCAUUCUCUUAAGUCACACUAGCCUUAUCAUUGCAAGAGAUACAAGGCAGGUUAUGGUUGGCAAGACUUGGUGGACGAAGACCUCAUUACUCUAAUAUCUAAUAACGAAUAUGUCUGCAAAGGAUCCAAAAUAUUCUCUGUUUGAUUGGAGAUUGAAGCCAACACCACUGAUGCUACUAACUUCGAGGCGGAAUGGUGGGUGCUGAUGUAUAGUCUGGAGCAUGCAAGGGAGGAAAAUUUUCAUGAAAUUAUGGAUCGAAUGUGACUCAGUUACAGUUACCUUGGUGGUUUCUAAGCAUUGGUUCCAUGGUUUGUGCAUCAAAUGUGGUUUUUACUCCAACCAUAACUUCUCUCUGUUGAUUGGAACGGAGCCCACUGCUAUAGAGAAGCAAAUCUUAUUGCAGACUUUAUAGCGAAAUCAGCAGGAAAGUUGGAGACUUCACCUGCUAUGAUUGAGUUUCGGAGUUCAAUUUCUAAUGAGCUUAUUGUUGUUGCUCAAGGCCGGCCAAGGUUUCGGUUUGUUAGUUGAUUAUCUAUCUGCUGCUUUCUAGCCUCUCCUGCUGAUGGCAAUGCCGAAGGUGGGAGGGGGUAGUGUAGUUUUUGUUUUGAGCGUCUAGUUUUGUCCAGUUGAUGUUUGCACUUUAUUGUUUCUUUUAUUUUCUUAUCUUCUCUUGAUUACCAAACAUAGCCUUAGGGAAAAAACAGAAGAUUGACCAUGGAAGUUGUCUAGUGUAUGUGGGAAGCUUGGUCUCGUCAAUUUAAAAUAAAAAAAAUGGCAUUCAAGAGAAGGAUUUGGUUCCUUAUAAUGGAACAUCCACUAUGUUGUUGGAGAUCUCUUAUGAUAUUGGGAUUCUCAAGUUCGUUAAAGAACAUUUAUUUAUUACCGUUGUUGGCGGCUUACUAAGAAAAGGUAUUGUGCUAA